rnacentral:rRNA from 1 species
GACGAACGCUGGCGGCGUGCUUAACACAUGCAAGUCGAACGGAAAGGCCCUGCUUUUGUGGGGUGCUCGAGUGGCGAACGGGUGAGUAACACGUGAGUAACCUGCCCUUGACUUUGGGAUAACUUCAGGAAACUGGGGCUAAUACCGGAUAGGAGCUCCUGCUGCAUGGUGGGGGUUGGAAAGUUUCGGCGGUUGGGGAUGGACUCGCGGCUUAUCAGCUUGUUGGUGGGGUAGUGGCUUACCAAGGCUUUGACGGGUAGCCGGCCUGAGAGGGUGACCGGCCACAUUGGGACUGAGAUACGGCCCAGAGUCCUACGGGAGGCAGCAGUGGGGAAUAUUGGCCGAUGGGCGGAAGCCUGAUGCAGCAACGCCGCGUGCGGGAUGACGGCCUUCGGGUUGUAAACCGCUUUCGCCUGUGACGAAGCGUGAGUGACGGUAAUGGGUAAAGAAGCACCGGCUAACUACGUG